GUCAUUAAAAGGUGUAAAAACAUAAAACCAUUUAUUCCUACUAAAAAAUAUGAUUACUUUAAACCCAGAUAAUAAAGUUUUAGAUAGUCUUACUCUAUGAGUUCUUACGUAUAUAUUAUCAUAUAUAUAAUGCUGGGAAGUUAUUAAUUGCAUGAUCGAUGUAGUCCCAACAUACCCUUGACAAAUAUUAUUUCUUUAAUAAAAAAUAUUAAUUAUGAUUUCAGGACAAUAAGUUCAUGUAGAAGGAACAAAACUGUAAUUAUUUGUCGUUUUUAAUCUAUAAAUAAUCUGCUUUUAGCGUUCUG
rnacentral:lncRNA from 1 species